AGUUUUGAAUCUUAAGUUGGUUGCACAGUCAGUCACAGACAGACAUGACAUUACACGUCAAAAAAGUUCAACAACGGAGAUCGGAUAACAAGUUAACUGUUUUUAAAUAAUUUCAGCUGAAGUUUUCAUGUACCUGGCCAACUAGGUGCUCGUGACAAUAUAAAUGAAAUGGAAAUGGCCUAAUUCAAUAAUGCAAGCUCACAACCAUUGUCUUAUGAAGCAAAAUCAUUUCUGUUGCAGAUAUUAAUGCCUUCGCUGGAUCCAAUUCUUUGCUAUUUUACGGACAACAGCAAGAAAAUGCUGCUACUCAAGAUUUUAUGAUGACCACCACUUUGUUCUAAUUUAGGACAAGGUUAAUCCCUUUCCACUGUUAUAGUUUUUUUUAAAUCGACAAGAGAUUGCUGGAAUCAAAGACUGAUAAUUUGUUUAGACGUAGAUAAAUUACAAGUGCAUAUCUGGGCUCCCUUCUUUUCUGUGGCCCUGUUUCCCUAACUAACCACUAACCAACGCCCGCCGGUGGUCACUCACCCGCUGUGAUAACCAGGAGGAGGGGGAGGGCUCUGGUCGAACGGGGACUUGGAAGGCCUAUGAUCUGAUGAAAGCUUUUGGAGGAUCAUGAGUCUAACCCGGAAGCCUAUUAUGACUAUAUCUCCCCGGAAAAACUUGCCUCGUACUUCUCUCUUCUUCUCGGUCCAGAUACAUAUCUCUGGGGGCCGUAGACAAAAUUCACUAAAUGUGCGAAUUCCAUCAAAGAAAUCCGCAGGCCAUGCGACACAAAAUGAGACAAAAAGCGAUGAUUUAUUUCUACGGAUACGUCACUUAAGUUAAUUCAACAAACAUUGUAUUGGGUGAUGGAUGGUUUGCUUCAACUUGUACUAAAUAAGAAAAGUAAAGAGGAGGAUUUCGAACCGAACGUUUUGUUUAUUAAAAUGAUAAAUACAUUUUGAUUUUAUGAUCAGGAA
rnacentral:lncRNA from 1 species